CGGCAACACUCCAGCGUCCCUAAUCUGUAACCCCAGGCCCUUCAGCUCUGCCUAACCAGCCCAGCCCUUUUCUUUCAUUUUAAUUUUUUAAAGCUUUGUAUUAAUACACCCUCUUGGCGUGUAAUGCCUACCUUCCUUGUGUGGACUUGGUACACGCGCGUGACGCAUCUCAGUUCUUUCUGCUUCCGCUCCCCCACCUCCAUCUCGGCCCCUGCUCGUUGGCGAAAGGUCGAUCUUCCCAUUUCCUGUUAUCUAGCAUUCAUCUUGUUCUUCUCCCGUCAUCGGUGGCAUUUAAGGUAACUGAGCUGCAAAGCUGCAUCCCUGGAAGUUCUCUCAGCUGCCAAGGCAGAAACCAUUCAUGCUGCACAGCAGAACAAAAUAAAGGCAGAUCUGAGCACUAUUUCCAGUCCAUCGGUCUGUGGGUGGGCAGAAUUACAAAAGCCACUCGCCCAGACUCCACCCAGGACGAACACCCUGAAAUCAAAGCCCAGUGUUCUUCCGCAACAGUUACAGAAACAGGCUGUCACAGGCAGUGGUCCUGCAGGGCCAGUGUCCCAGAUCCUGUUUGCCGAAAUACAAAGAAGCAUUCUGUGACAAGUGAGUGAGCUUUGCUCCCUGGUGUUCUUGCUGCCAAAGCUGAUGGUAGCACUGGUGAUCGUGAGUCUUACAGGACAGUUCCACCUCUAGACAGAGGCUUCUCCCUAAUGAAUCCGAACAUUCAGAAGCCACAUGGGAGAAUAUAAGUGAUGACUUUAUAGGAAGUGAAUCAAAGAGUUAAGGAGCUUUGGAACUGCGCAGAACCAAUAUAAAUUACUUGUUUUCUAGGGAACUAUUAUGAUAUGCUGAGGCACCUCGGCAGGCUGAGGACUUCGACCUAAAUAAAGGCUGAUUGAAAG
rnacentral:lncRNA from 1 species